rnacentral:rRNA from 1 species
UGAGGAAUAUUGGUCAAUGGGCGGGAGCCUGAACCAGCCAAGCCGCGUGAGGGAAGAAGGUACAGCGUAUCGUAAACCUCUUUUGUCAGGGAACAAAGGCGGGGACUAGUCCCCGGAUGAGGGUACCUGAAGAAAAAGCAUCGGCUAACUCCGUGCCAGCAGCCGCGUAAUCGAGAUCU